UAGUGGUGAAAAGUGUGGGAAAAUUAGGCAACUCUCGAUGGUGAAGUCCAGCGAGAGCGGCAAACUUGAAAACUAUUGGGCAAUAAACCACCAGCAUUCCUGACUGUUUUUGAUUAGAUUAAUUUUAUAGGAGGAAUCUACCCGAGACCCGUUCGGUCGCUGUUCGCGGGUGCAGCUGGAUUGAAAACGGAAAAUGAACACAAGAAACACAUUGACACGCGAGAUAAAAGUGUAGGAAGGAUUUGCAUACGUUAUGUUGGGAAGCAUAGGAAACACUUUACCAGUGCUAACAAACGCGGACCACUCUCACAUCAAAAUAAUUCAGAUGCUAAUGGUAACGCGAGUAGAUUGCACCUAACUGAGGAACGAGGCUGGAAGCAGUAAGUGUAAAAAGGAAGGAUGAAAAAAUAAACACACAAGCAUGGAUAGCAAUAUAAGCAUGUCGCUUACUUUCAAUAGUAAUAAUACUAACAAUGGAACUCCGGAAUACAGCAGACACUCGGGAUCUUGUCUCUGGUUUUUGGUCAAUCAUUUCAUUAGAAGAUGGCGACAAAGAUGAUCCUAACUAAGUAGCAGCGGGUAGCGGAAGUAGCGGCAGCGGAUAGCAACAGUAGCGGCAGCUAUAGUGGUUUUCGACACCCUGUCAAUCAAUUGGAACCAAAUUUGACAUGUGGAAGUUUAUGGGGGAAGAAAUGGUUUGACAAUCCUCUGUAGUCUGCAAAGGAAGGGAGGCUUCCAAGCAAGUAAAACUAAUAUUUCAACCAAUUUUUCCGGAAAACAGCCGGAUGAUGCACAGCAGCCAAUUAUCGACUAUAGAUGCCAUUUUUGAAUCCAAGAUGAAAACUUCUGGUUUUUGUAAAACAGCCGAAAAUGGUGGAACACCACCCAAUAUUGGUAUCUCCGGAACCAGAAUAAAGCGCAGCUCCUAGAAA